rnacentral:rRNA from 1 species
UACGGAGGAUGCAAGCGUUAUCCGUAAUGAUUGGGCGUAAAGCGUCCGCAGGUGGCUAUGUAAGUCUGCUGUUAAAGAGUGAGGCUCAACCUCAUAAAAGCAGUGGAAACUACAUGGCUAGAGUGCGUUCGGGGCAGAGGGAAUUCCUGGUGUAGCGGUGAAAUGCGUAGAUAUCAGGAAGAACACCGGUGGCGAAAGCGCUCUGCUAGGCCGCAACUGACACUGAGGGACGAAAGCUAGGGGAGCGAAUGGG